UGUGUAGGUGGCGCGCUAAGUCGGGUGUGAAAUUUCGGAGCUUAACUCCGAAACUGCAUUCGAUACUGGCGUGCUUGAGGACUGGAGAGGAGACUGGAAUUCAUGGUGUAGCAGUGAAAUGCGUAGAGAUCAUGAGGAAGACCAGUGGCGAAGGCGGGUCUCUGGACAGUUCCUGACACUGAGACACAAGGCCAGGGAGCAAACG
rnacentral:rRNA from 1 species